rnacentral:rRNA from 1 species
UACGAAGGGUGCAAGCGUUACUCGGAAUUACUGGGCGUAAAGCGUGCGUAGGUGGUUGUUUAAGUCUGUCGUGAAAGCCCUGGGCUCAACCUGGGAAUGGCGAUGGAAACUGGGCGACUAGAGUGUGGCAGAGGGUAGUGGAAUUCCUGGUGUAGCAGUGAAAUGCGUAGAGAUCAGGAGGAACAUCCGUGGCGAAGGCGACUGCCUGGGCCAACACUGACACUGAGGCA